rnacentral:tRNA from 1 species
GGCAAGAUGGCCGAGCGGUCCAAGGCGUGUGACUCAAGUUCUCAUCUGUGUAUGCAGGCGGGGGUUCGAAUCCCCCUCUUGUCA